UGGGGAAUAUUGCACAAUGGGGGAAACCCUGAUGCAGCGACGCCGCGUGAGCGAAGAAGUCUUUCGAGUCGUAAAGCUCUGUCCUAUGAGAAGAUAAUGACGGUAUCAUAGGAGGAAGCCCUGGCUAAAUACGUGCCAGCAGCCGCGGUAAUACGUAUGGGGCGAGCGUUGUCCGGAAUUAUUGGGCGUAAAGGGUACGUAGGCGGUUUUUUAAGUCAGGUGUCAAAGCGUGGAGCUUAACUCCAUUAAGCACUUGAAACUGAAAGACUUGAGUGAAGGAGAGGAAAGUGGAAUUCCUAGUGUAGCGGUGAAAUGCGUAGAUAUUAGGAGGAAUACCGGUGGCGAAGGCGACUUUCUGGACUUUUACUGACGCUCAGGUACGAAAGCGUGGGGAGCAAACAGG
rnacentral:rRNA from 1 species